UACGGGGGGGGGCAAGCGUUGUUCGGAAUUACUGGGCGUAAAGGGCUCGUAGGCGGCCAACUAAGUCAGACGUGAAAUCCCCAGGCUCAACCUGGGAACUGCGUCUGAUACUGGAUGGCUUGAAUCCGGGAGAGGGAUGCAGAAUUCCAGGUGUAGCGGUGAAAUGCGUAGAUAUCUGGAGGAAUACCGGUGGCGAAGGCGGCAUCCUGGACCGGCAUUGACGCUGAUGAGCGAAAGCCAGGGGAGCAAACGGG
rnacentral:rRNA from 1 species